rnacentral:rRNA from 1 species
UACGUAGGGUGCAAGCGUUAAUCGGAAUUACUGGGCGUAAAGCGUGCGGAGGCGGUUUUGUAAGUCUGUCGUGAAAGCCCCGGGCUCAACCUGGGAAUUGCGAUGGAGACUGCAAGGCUUGAAUCUGGCAGAGGGGGGUAGAAUUCCACGUGUAGCAGUGAAAUGCGUAGAGAUGUGGAGGAACACCGAUGGCGAAGGCAGCCCCCUGGGUCAAGAUUGACGCUCAUGCACGAAAGCGUGGGGAGCAAACAGG